GUACGAGAGGACCGGAGUGGACGCAUCACUGGUGUUCGGGUUGUCAUGCCAAUGGCACUGCCCGGUAGCUAAAUGCGGAAGAGAUAAGUGCUGAAAGCAUCUAAGCACGAAACUUGCCCCGAGAUGAGUUCUCCCUGAGACUAUAAGUCUCCUGAAGGAACGUUAAAGACGAUGACGUUGAUAGGCCGGGUGUGUAAGCGCAGCGAUGCGUUGAGCUAACCGGUACUAAUGAACCGUGAGGCUUAACCUUACAACGCCGAAG
rnacentral:rRNA from 2 species